rnacentral:rRNA from 1 species
CGAGGCCAUACCGCCUGGAACAUGCCUAAUCUUUUCUGAUCUCAGAAGCUAAGCAGGGGUGAGCCCAGUUAGUACUUGAAUGGGAAAAAGGAAAUAAUUGGGUGAAUUCUUUGA